GCGGCACGGACGCGUUCCUGCUCGCUCCGUUGCACCGGAAUUUCGACGGCUGGGUUCGGCCGCUAAAUUGAUGGCGCUACCGGAAGAAAUUUCACAAAAAAAGGGUGGCUUUUUCGUCGAUCUCUUUGUGAGAGUAUCAAAUCAGGCGGCGGUAAAUACGUAGAAGCAACUAGGCGUACUACGGCGUGUACCGGACAGCGUUGGCGUGCCGCUCUGCUAGCAGCGGAGAGCCAGAUGAGGAUGCCCGUGAUAUGAGAAAAGCUCUGUCCAGAGAUAUGGAGAUGAAAUCAGUUGUACCUCACCCUGUGACACCGGAAGACAUUGAGUAACUCGUCCUGCAGCUGGCUCCUCGGUUUUGGCGGCAGCCUGCACAUAGCAGCCCAGCUCUCCAGCAGCCUGACGGACCGACCGUGUGUCUGUUCCACGCCGGACUGGCGAGCGUGGCUCUGGGUAGGACAGCCGAGGCGCCCCAGGGCCGGGCCCCGGUGCGGAGUCUCUCCCGGGACCGGCUCUGUGUGUGACUGAAUAAACGCUUGCGGUCUCUUUUGCCGUG